rnacentral:rRNA from 1 species
GAUGAACGCUGGCGGCGUGCUUAACACAUGCAAGUCGAACGGAAAGGCCCAAGCUUGCUUGGGUACUCGAGUGGCGAACGGGUGAGUAAAACGUGGGUGAUCUGCCCUGCACUUCGGGAUAAGCCUGGGAAACUGGGUCUAAUAUCGGAUAGGACCACAUUUUGGAUGGUGUGGUGGAAAGUUUUUCGGUGUGGGAUGAGCUCGCGGCGUAUCAGCUUGUUGGUGGGGUAAUGGCCUACCAAGGCGUCGACGGGUAGCCGGCCGGAGAGGGUGUACGGCCACAUUGGGACUGAGAUACGGCCCAGGCUCGGACGGGAGGCAGCAGGGGGGAAGAUUGCACAAGGGGCGCAGGCCGGAUGCAGAGAGGCCGCGUGGGGGAGGACGGCCUUCGGGUUGUAGACUCCUUGCGCUAGGGACGAAGCGUUAUGUGACGGUACCUGGAGAAGAAGCACCGGCUAACUACGUG